AAGAAGAUGGAAUAAAGACAAACAUGAACACAGAGGAAUUGGAUGCAUUCUCAACUGCAAAAGAAGAUGGGACAAAGAAAAGCCAAGACCAAGAAGGAUUGGAUGAAAUCCCCAACGUGACAGAAAAUGU